GGCUGUUCUCGGGUGACACACCCCAGAAUUGGGCUCCCUCCUCUCUGGUUCCAGGUGCGUCACCCAAGAACUGUA
rfam:Myotis lucifugus cont2.37148, whole genome shotgun sequence.